CCACCUCCCCUGCAAACGUCCAGUGACGCAGAGGUAAUGGACGUUGGCUCUGGCGGUGCUG
rnacentral:pre_miRNA from 1 species